CUGGUUCUCAGAAAGUCCUGGCAUUUACUCAGAUGUUUAUUGCAGUUUCUUUACAAUGAGGGUGGGAAAAUUCAUGACAUUAACCAAGCUUUAAAUGACAAAAUCGUGAAAAUGGUGCGUAUGUUGAAAAGCGGUGAACUCGGUUUAUGUCCAUUCAAAAUAACCCUUACUUCGCAUUUGUUCCAAAAAUCACUCAACCGUAAAGUUGUCGAUAAUUUUCUUAAAAGUCAUUUUCAACCAACUAUACAGAGUUCAAAUAUAAAUAAAAAAAAAAUUAUAAGAUUUUUU
rnacentral:lncRNA from 1 species